UAACUAGGUAGAGUAUGUGAAAUCAUUUCCGGAUUAUUUGGCUGCCCCAUGUAAUUAUUCUGAUUCUCAAAUAGUCUUAACAAGGGUUUCAUGGUUGCGAUAAAAGAAUGUGAAAGCUGUUGGUUGAGACAAGGCUUAGCUUGCUAUUCUCGUGUUUACUGUGGUGUGUAAGUUUUGAUAUUUCAUCAAAUUAAACCCUCUGCUACGGCUAUGAGGUGAUGGUGUUCUAAGUACGCUUAAGGCUUAUUUAAAGUUCUAUGUGUUACAUGAGCAUAAACUGAGGUGUUGUGGGAUUACCUGUUGUGGAGCUGGAGCUGUGGACUCCUUCCUUUGUGGCCUAGUUCUCGGCUUGCCUUUGCAGGCUGACUGAGGUUCUUGCUUCUCGAUGAAACAGGAUAAUCUUUCCUAGACAUCUUCUUACUUUCACUCUCUCCUUCUCCUCCAUCCUUUGUCUACUGAUUGUGAAGUGGAUUUGUGGUGAAGGGGGUAUAUAAAUGGAAGUUGUACCUUGUAGUUUGUUGAGAUUUAGCAGAAUCAAGUCUGCAAGUUCUUUGUCUUUUGUUAAACUGAUUGGCUGUUUCUUUUGGAGGUAGUGCAAGGGUGUACUCGUGGGUUUAAAUGGAGUUGUUAUACUACUUUGUUUUCUUCUUGCAGCAGCCCCUUUUUCCUUUGAUGUUGCAGCAAUUUAACUGAAGUGUUGGUAGUGAGUUUGCAGGUGUACAACAAAGGUGGAGAAAAAGGUUUGGCUGUGCCCUGCAGGCCGUUGCAGGCAGCACUGCCUCGCGGCAGCCUUCGGCUCAGGCUGUGAGUGCAGGAGGCUGUUACACUACCUCUUUUGGCAAGGCUGAUUUGUUCACUGAGUCGAGAAGGGGACCGGCCAUGGUUCGCUCGUUCCUACCGAAGGCCGGACCGUGGCCUUGGGCGUAAAGAGGAAAUUCACAAAUGCGUGCCACCGGGCACUCGGUUCCUUUAAAUUCUUAGCCAACAUUUGGAUACCCUUUGUAAUAGCAUCCGAGUUCUCUUUCUUUUUUUCUUUGUUUCAACGCAUGUAACGUUUAGUAUAGUUGUCGGAUUUCAUUUCCUUAAAUUUCAUCGUCAAGUAUUUGUAAAUUAGACUUAACUUGAAAUUAGUACAUUCUGCUUAUGAAAUAAACGAAUACUCUUUCGUUGUAUUGCA